rnacentral:rRNA from 1 species
UGGGGAUAAACCCGGGAAACUGGGUAUAAUACCAGAUAGAUCUCGAUUGCUGGAAUGCAUCGAGCUUGAAAGCUCCGGCGCUCAAGGAUGGGUCUGCGGCCUAUCAGGUAGUAGUGGGUGUAGCGUACCUACUAGCCUACGACGGGUACGGGUUGUGAGAGCAAGAGCCCGGAGAUGGAUUCUGAGACACGAAUCCAGGCCCUACGGGGUGCAGCAGGCGCGAAAACUUUACAAUGCUGGAAACAGCGAUAAGGGGACCUCGAGUGCCAGGUUACAAAUCUGGCUGUCGUGAUGCCUAAAAAGCAUUGCAUAGCAAGGGCCGGGCAAGACCGGUGCCAGCCGCCGCGGUAACACCGGCGGCUCGAGUGGUAACCGUUAUUAUUGGGUCUAAAGGGUCUGUAGCCGGCCGGAUAAGUCUCUUGGGAAAUCUGACAGCUUAACUGUCAGGCUUUCAGGAGAUACUGUCUGGCUCGAGGCCGGGAGAGGUGAGAGGUACUUCAGGGGUAGGGGUGAAAUCUUGUAAUCCUUGAAGGACCACCAGUGGCGAAGGCGUCUCACCAGAACGGACCUGACGGCAAGGGACGAAAGCUAGGGGCACGAACCGGAUUAGAUACCCGGGUAGUCCUAGCCGUAAACGAUACUCGCUAGGUGUCGGCCACGGUGCGACCGUUGUCGGUGCCGUAGGGAAGCCGUGAAGCGAGCCACGUGGGAAGUACGGCCGCAAGGCUGAAACUUAA